ACUCCUACGGGAGGCAGCAGUGGGGAAUAUUGCACAAUGGGGAAAGACCCUGUGCAGCCAUGCCGCGUGUGUGAAGAAGGCCUUCGGGUUGUAAAGCACUUUCAGUAGGGGAGGAAGGUAGUGUAGUUAACACCUGCAUUAUUUGACGUUACCUACAGAAGAAGCACCGGCUAACUCCGUGCCAGCAGCCGCGGUAAUACGGAGGGUGCGAGCGUUAAUCGGAAUUACUGGGCGUAAAGCGCAUGCAGGCGGCCUGUUAAGUCAGAUGUGAAAGCCCGGGGCUUAACCUCGGAAUUGCAUUUGAAACUGGCAGGCUAGAGUCUUGUAGAGGGGGUA
rnacentral:rRNA from 1 species